rnacentral:sRNA from 12 species
AUGUGUACCGAAGGACUUAACGGUGAAGGUCAAGCGAAUCACGGACACUUCAUUAUGAAGUGAGUACAAGUUGCUAUCAUGGCGGAGCGAUAAUAACCCACGGAGGGAUAGAAGAUAUUCCUUAUCCUCGCAAUGGCAUAAGAGGAGAUAGUCGUGAUAAACGGCGUCGUGAACACGAAAGUGUCAACGGAUGGCAAUAGCCAUCGCCACAAUAUGUCGAACAUAUUGUGGUAGUGGGUCCUAUGUGUACGGGCGUAAGAGGGACUGGAGACAGUCGGAGUACACUUACA